rnacentral:rRNA from 1 species
CACGUAGGGUGCGAGCGUUGUCCGGAAUUAUUGGGCGUAAAGAGCUCGUAGGCGGUGUGUCGCGUCGGCCGUGAAAACCUGCAGCUUAACUGUGGGCUUGCGGUCGAUACGGGCAUCACUGGAGUUCGGCAGGGGAGACUGGAAUUCCUGGUGUAGCGGUGAAAUGCGCAGAUAUCAGGAGGAACACCGGUGGCGAAGGCGGGGUCUCUGGGCCGAUACUGACGCUGGAGG